rnacentral:rRNA from 1 species
UACGGAGGGGGCUAGCGUUGCUCGGAAUUACUGGGCGUAAAGCGCACGUAGGCGGCGAUGCGAGUCAGGUGUGAAAGGCCUGGGCUUAACCCGGGAACUGCAUUUGAUACUGCAUUGCUAGAGUCCGAGAGAGGGUAGUGGAAUUCCCAGUGUAGAGGUGAAAUUCGUAGAUAUUGGGAAGAACACCAGUGGCGAAGGCGGCUACCUGGCUCGGUACUGACGCUCAGGUGCGAAAGCGUGGGGAGCGAACAGG